rnacentral:rRNA from 1 species
GACGAACCGUGCGAACGUUAUUCGGAAUCACUGGGCUUAAAGCGCGUGUAGGCGGGUCGGCGCGUCGGUCGCUGAAAUCCCCCGGCUCAACCGGGGAAGGGGCGCCGAAACGGCCGGCCUGGAGGGACGUAGGGGGGGCUGGAACUUCCGGUGGAGCGGUGAAAUGCGUUGAGAUCGGAAGGAACGCCCGUGGCGAAAGCGAGCCCCUGGACGUCUACUGACGCUGAGACGCGAAAGCCAGGGGAGCGAACGGG